rnacentral:lncRNA from 1 species
CGUCUGCCAGACAAGAUUGCGCAUGGCUGCGAUGCGUACCAUGGCAAAAAGUUGACCCUGCUUUGCACCCACAGCCCACCAACGAAUGUUACGUUAGAACAGAGAGCAGGCUCAUUCUUCAUCUCUAAAGGAUGGAAAACCUUUACCCAAAGUGUUGGCCUACGUUUUGGACAAUAUAUUCGCUUGAGGAUUACCUCUUCAUCAACGCUUGAUGUCCUCAUGUUUGAUAAAGAUGGAGCCAGCAAACUCCCUUUAGCUACUUCAUCCAACCAUCAGAUGAAGAGCAAGGCAAGUAAAUAUAUCCAUCAACCAUCUAAGGGUAUUGUAAUCAGAGAAGGACCUCCCAAGAAAGCAACUGUCGUUUCCAGCACCUCAACUGAAGGUCCUACUUUACUACUUAACAUACUAUUAUUUCAUGGAGCUGUGCUUUUGCGCAAAAAAAAUAUCCAGCCCACAACUGAUCUAAAAAAUUCCUACACCAUUAAUUCAAGCAGCUUCUAUGCUGUGACCAUCAACAGCACAUUCAUCAAGCAAGAUAGAGUUUACUUUACAAAGGAAUUUUCACAGAACUACAUAAAACCGCUAAUGGAAGGAGGUAUUUCAACCAGCAUGAUCCUCCACGUUUCAACAUAUGACCGUUGCAACUCGAAGAAAGGGUGGACAAAGUUCGCAGCACAGAUGACAUAG